rnacentral:piRNA from 1 species
UCGAUGUGCCUGGUGGAAGCAGU